CCGUAUUAAGGUGAAACCGCGAAAGGCUCAUUAAAUCAGUUAUGGUUCCUUAGNNNNNNNNNNNNUUUACUUGGAUAACUGUGGUAAUUCUAGAGCUAAUACAUGCAAACAGAGCUCCGACCGGACACGGAAGGAGCGCUUUUAUUAGAUCAAAACCAAUCGGCGGCGGGCCUCGGCUCGUCGUCGUACCCACUGGUGAAUCUGAAUAACUUUCUGCUGAUCGCAUGGUCUAGCACCGGCGACGCAUCUUUCAAAUGUCUGCCUUAUCAACUGUCGAUGGUAGGUUCUGCGCCUACCAUGGUUGUAACGGGUAACGGGGAAUCAGGGUUCGAUUCCGGAGAGGGAGCCUGAGAAACGGCUACCACAUCCAAGGAAGGCAGCAGGCGCGCAAAUUACCCACUCCCGGCACGGGGAGGUAGUGACGAAAAAUAACGAUACGGGACUCAUCCGAGGCCCCGUAAUCGGAAUGAGUACAAUCUAAACCCUUUAACGAGGAUCAAUUGGAGGGCAAGUCUGGUGCCAGCAGCCGCGGUAAUUCCAGCUCCAAUAGCGUAUAUUAAAGUUGUUGCGGUUAAAAAGCUCGUAGUCGAAUCUGUGUCCCGCGCCGCCGGUUCAUCGCUCGCGGUGUUUAACUGGCGUGUCCGCGGGACGUCCUGCCGGUGGGCCUAACCCGCGAGGGCGGCCCAACUCAAUCCCACCGCGGUGCUCUUCACUGAGUGUCGAGGUGGGCCGGCACGUUUACUUUGAACAAAUUAGAGUGCUUAAAGCAGGCUAAAACUUCGCCUGAAUACAGUGUGCAUGGAAUAAUGGAAUAGGACCUCGGUUCUAUUUUGUUGGUUUUCGGAACCCCGAGGUAAUGAUUAAUAGGAACGGAUGGGGGCAUUCGUAUUGCGACGUUAGAGGUGAAAUUCUUGGAUCGUCGCAAGACGAACAGAAGCGAAAGCA
rnacentral:rRNA from 1 species